AACUGAGCUGACGCCUGACUUCCACCUCCACUCGCUUCUCGCAGUUGGAACCAUCCUGUCUCCAGCUGCCUGGUUACAUCGACGUGCAGCAAGAGAGGGGGAAAUCCGCCUGCCUGGGUUUUGACACUCCCCGCAGUGAUCCGUGAAAACCUCCGUCAAUGUACGACCACCCAUUAAGCGCUUUAGCAGCGAGUCCCUAGCAAAGCCAACACCGAAAUGGCCGCGUCGCUUCCUGCCGGCUUUUGUCCUCUUGACGCACUUGGGCACUCGUUGUCGGUGUGACCCUUUGUUCCUGGAGCGCCGGGUUGACGUACGACUCGGCGACGCCACGACCAGGUCCCACCACUCAUCGCCUGCACCACCACACUCACAAUAAACUCAGGCAGUGUGGCAGCGGCGAUGUAUGGCUCUCCCAGGGCUGUCUGCUGCUGCCCUGGAACUUAUAUUUAUACCUUACCUUAUGCCCUCCUGUGGGUUGUUUCAUUGCCUUUUUUUCCAUUAUUCUUUCAUGGCGCAUUCGGCAAGACUUGAUAGGGAAAUUUUUAGUAACCUAGUGUAUUGUUUUAACGUAGAAAAGAUAGAUGUGAAAGGUAUGUUUGUAUAUCCAUGUGUAUUCCAGACAAUGCCAAAAGUCAAGUCUGAAGGUUAUUAUAUAGAUGGCUCUAUUUCUGCAGUUAUUCACGCUCCUUCCUCUGAGAUCAAUGGUGACAUAUCUUUUUAUGGCCUUUUGAUAAAUUUACUAUGAAUUCGAAA